rnacentral:rRNA from 1 species
AGGUAGCAUAAUCAUUUGUUUUUUUAUUGAAAACUAGAAUGAAAGAGUCGACGAAAAAUAGCCUUUUGAUUUAUAAAAUUAAAUUAACAUAAAGGUUAAAAGGCCUUAAAAACUCAGAAAGACGACAAGACCCUAUAAAACUUUACUAUUAUAAAAACAAAAAAAAUAGUUAAACUGGGGCGGUUAAUACAAAAACUGUGUAAUAAAAAAUAUAGAACAUAAAAUUUAAGAACUUAGCAUUUAAAAAAUUUUGAACAAGUUACUUUAGGGAUAACAGCAUAAUUUUCUCAGAGAGCCCUAAUCGAAGAGAAAGCUUAUGACCUCGAUGUUGAAUUGAAAACCCUCGUAUAAGCAGAAGUAUACAGAGGUAGUCUGUUCGACUAUUAAAUUUUC